rfam:Medicago truncatula strain A17 chromosome 8, whole genome shotgun sequence.
AAAUCACCCCCUAAGUAUUGACUUUUUUGCAGUUUUGGCACCCCAGACCAAUUUUGGCAAAGUCAAUACACACAUGGACGCCACUUGAAAAUAAAUACAUACGUGUGGCGUCCACGUCAGCUUUGACUUGGUCAAAAUUGGCAUGGGGCCAAAACUGCGAAAAAGUCAAUACUUAGCAGGCGGUUU